CGAGCGUUAAUCGGAAUUACUGGGCGUAAAGCGCAUGCAGGUGGUUUGUUAAGUCAGAUGUGAAAGCCCGGGGCUCAACCUCGGAAUUGCAUUUGAAACUGGCAGACUAGAGUACUGUAGAGGGGGGGUAGAAUUUCAGGUGUAGCGGUGAAAUGCGUAGAGAUCUGAAGGAAUACCGGUGGCGAAGGCGGCCCCCUGGACAG
rnacentral:rRNA from 1 species